AAUGAAAUGCCUGAUAAAAGGAUUAUCUUGAUAGGAUAAAUCAUGUAUUACUUACUUUCAUUA
rnacentral:tRNA from 1 species